rnacentral:sRNA from 1 species
GAACCCUCUGCAAGAGGGCCGCGUUGCGAU